UUUUACCCUACUGAUGCCCGC
rnacentral:siRNA from 1 species